ACACCAUCCGGAAAAAGAUGAAGAUGGGAAACAUAUUCCCUUCACCAGACAUGAAGCCGGAAUGAUUUUAGGUCAGACAGCCUCUUUGGUUUCUUUUUACUUUAAUGCAAUAGAAUCAUAAUAUUUGGUGGAUAAACGAACAGCUAUCGGUCUUUUGAAAAGUAAAGUUCAUAGAAUUCUGCUACCCUAAAACUUUCCCCACAACAUACGCCGACCAAUGAUCCGUCACUUCAACAAAACGAGAGGGUGUAGAUGGAUCGGACUUUCUGAGGGUGGGUGUAUCUUUUAGCAGGUACACUUCCAUCUCACGAAAACCGGCUUCUUC
rnacentral:misc_RNA from 1 species